GGGGAAUAACUUUUCCACGAUAUUCUCAUUUUUUGAGAUGCACCUCUACCUAAGGGUGUGCAAACUUUUGCACGCAACACUAUCAAAUCGCAUACAGUAUAAUCAUGAAAACUGGCAAGAGGUACACUAGCCUAACUUUGAUCAUUUCAGUGUGUGUGUGUGUGUAGUUUUUAAGAUAUCUACUAAGUAUGCUGUGUCCUGCCUCUAUAAUGUCAUGUAGCCUUGUCCAGUGUGGCUGCGCUCGAUUUGCGCAGAUUAAACACUCUCAUUAGGUCAAUGAAGCACCAGGAGGGUCGCGUGAGGGGCGGGACCGCGAGCCAAAAAAACGGAAAGUCACGGCUAGUGCAGACUUCCUUUCUCCAAGGUGUCACAUCCAGGCAAAAAAAAAAGAGAGAGAGAGAGAGGAAAAAGUCGACAAAAACAAGGUUUCUCUCCAGAACCAUUUUGAAUGCUCUGGGAAAAAACCCCGAGGCGCGUGCAAAAAGUUCAAGCAGGCCUUUUCUUUCAAACACUCCAUGAAAAGUGGGCUCCGGUGUUGUUUACAUGAUUUUUAAAGGAUAAAAUACUCCUACACGGAUAAGGUGGAUACAAUGGCUGACCAGGAAAUAUCUAUGGAUGACAGUAUAACAGUAGUUGUGUUGGUGUUACAGUGUGAAUCUCAGCAGGCUGUGUCUCCUAGAGAGGACACAGAUGUUUAACACGACCAAUGUGGGCGGAAAUGAAGUUGCAGUUUUACACUUCCUUCUCCCUAGCUGCAGCUCUGUGGACUUUCUGAAGCAAUCUUCAUGCUCAGUUAUGCACACAGCUGCGGAUAUGGUACAUGACAUUGAUUUUUUAUUAAAGUUAGUUUGGGUUUGAAGCAGAUAAUUGAACCUGGCUACCUGGUUUAGCACAGGCUUUAAGUCUGGUUCCUUUAAAAGAAGGACAAAACAUUUGAUGGGGUUUUCAGCUGCAAAGCUACAACCGUGCUAGUGAUGGGCGACUCGUGAGCUGCUCGAUUCUUUUUAAGUUACUCAUUAUUAAAGCGAGUCGUCCGAAUCGAAUCUUUAGUCAGCCGUGUUGUGGGUUGUUUUCUGCUUCUUUUAUUUGACUUUUUUUUUCUUUUUUUAAUGUUUUUUAUUUAUUUACAUUUUCCAUGCUGUUAUGCUUGACCAGAAUGAAAAGGACAUUUAUGCUACAUUUUAAGUUGGUUUUUGGAUUGACUUUUUCCUACUUGUAGAGUCUCAAAUGUAAAGUAGUUGUAAAGUCUUUGUUGUGUUUACUAACACUUUGACUAUUGUAAAAUAGUUUAAUCAUAUAAAUAUGCAUGGCUUGAUAUGCCUCAGUGACGACUAAAAAAAAAAGGUUUUAUUGAGACACAAUUACCCAAGAUGAACUACUGAGAUUGAAAGUGUAAAGCUCAGGAAUUCGGUUUGAAAAGUAUUUUUGAUUCUCACGUUUGUAAUGACCUUUUUAAGCAUAACUUUUAGGUCGAAAACUUGACUACUAUAUUUGUUUAUAACGCACAAGUGGCAAUUAGACUAGAUUUGGAGCUGUAAAUAGAUAUAGGCUACUACAUCUCAGGGGAGAGAUAUGUAUAUAUUAGUACAGGCUUACUACUUUUUCUCUAGAGUAAAACAUCAUAAGGUAUAAACUUCUGUACCUGGCCUGCUUAAUUAAUACUUUUUUUUUUUUGGAUGAUUCACACCAGAAGAAUCAAACGGUUCGAAGUCUCAGUUUGAAUCUUUUCGACGGGUUUGUUCGAAAGAAUCGAAUCUGUAAAACUGACUCGUGAUGGCCAUCCCUGAACGGCGCAGCGCGGAGUCACGUGGUACAGUGCUGGAGAGCGCUGAGUCAAUGCAGCAAAAAGUCCGCGUGCCUCAUUACCGCCGUCAUCUUCAUCAUCUCUGGUGAAACCGCAAGGAGAAUGCCGGAUCGCAUUGUGGCAAACCUGCACCAAAGGCAACACACGGUCCGGGACAAUGACUGUGUAACGACUGCUGAGUCAACGAGUGAGAGGGGUCACCACUGCAGCACUGCAGCUCUCGUAUACACACACACACACACACACACACACACACACACACACAUGGACAGGUGCAUGUAUAUACCAUACACACGGUCAGAGGUCCACGCUCUUGUUUGUAACUUGUGGACACAAAGAUGUACAACUCCCCUUACACAAACACCAAACCCGUAUGUGAAUGAUAGACAGUCCAGUUCCUCAGUGGAAGGGCGUGGCUGUGUUCACACACUCAGCAGUGCAACGUGCCGGAGAUCAUGCUGUCAGGGUGCGGCUGUGUGGAACCUCCUGUCUUCUGGUGGUCCUGAUUUCCCUGCAGCUGCACGGCAGAAACAGCACGAACCCCAUUACUCUAACACAGCCAGUGGAAAUGACUUGUAAUUGCUUCAGCCACCGUCAGUCCGUCGCUUUUACUGAUUAAUAAAUAAUAUUUAAGUGACAUGAAAACAUCCAGGACUUGGCAGAUUGAUUCCUGCUCAUUCUGUCGUGUAACCAGAGGAAGUCGAUCAUGUCUUGGACUACCGUGUCCACGUAGGGACUCACACACAGAAAGUGGCCUGUGUUUUCCGUUCACGUCAGAGGCCAGGCGUCAGUCUUGUAGCUCUUCAUUUUGAGCGAUUAAGACAAAACUAAAAACGAUUCAACUAUUCUUCUUUGUUCAGUUAGAUUUCUUUAAUUAGCGAAUGCUUAUAUGACUGGUGAGAGAAAAGUUUUGUUUUUAUUAGCUUUAAUAGAGAGGGGGAGAAAGAGACGCCGGUGAGGGAAGCUGUUAAAGCUGUAAUAACAUAAGCGAUAACAGGAGCUAUAACUGCGAUCUGAUGGAAAAGUAUGACGUUCUUUAAUAAGUUAAAAAUUGCAAUCGGUUCCGAUUGUUGUGGCGUAAGAGGAAUAAAAGCACCAGGAUUUAGCGAUCGCAGAAACGAACGCAAAAUCGAGCAAACUCCGCAAUAUUCGGAGGAGCUUAGAAAUUUUCAAACUUAACCGUCGAUUUUCCGCAGAUUCGGGCAGAGGCAUUCAGCCAAAGCUCUCUUCGAUUCACGUGCGUCAGACAUGAGUACGGCAAAACGAUUUCGUGCAACAGCAGUUUCAACAGUCCGCGUAGUUUUCCGAAGGGGAAAAAAAAAAAAAGCACAAAAUACUCUGCAAAUUUUGAAAAAAGCCGCAGCAAAAUCGAGCAUUUUUAGCCGCAAAAAAAAAA
ensembl:lncRNA